GAAGAAGAUUAGUGUCAGCAACUUUUGGAUCCUCAAUCGUCAACGAAUCAGAAGAGCUCCGGGAUGUAAAUAUCAGGCGUUUCAUGAAAUUUGGAGAUGGCGGAACCCCUCCUGCAGCAGCAGCAGAUGUUUGUCAUGGAGGCAUUUGCAACGGUGCGGAGCUAUUUGAUUACGGGACACGGAAGCUUGAUCAACGAAAUGAAGAAUUCAAAAGUUAAGAUAUCUUAGAUUUUGAAAUUUAGCAAUUUAAACAUUUGAAAAUUAUACAUUUAAAUAUUUUUUUUCAAAACUUGAAAAAAGAAAAUUUAAAAAUUUAAAGCAAAUUGAAAUUCUACAAUUUCAAAACUCCCA